GCCCGGGUGGUGGAAUUGGUAGACACGCAGGACUUAAAAUCCUGUGAUCGCAAGAUCGUAUGGGUUCAAGUCCCAUCCCGGGUA
rnacentral:tRNA from 1 species